ensembl:snRNA
GUGUUGUAUGAAAGGAGAGAAUGUUAGCACUCCCCUUGACAAGGAUGAAAGAGGCCCUUGGGCCUGACAACAUGGAUAUAGUUAAGGCAUUGACACCUACUUCGUGGCAUCUAACCACUAUUUUUA